GAACGCACAUUGCGCCCUUUGGUAUUCCGAAGGGCAUGCCUGUUCGAGCGUCAUUAUCACCCCUCAAGCCCCCGGCUUGGUGUUGGACGGUUGGUGACGAUUUCGUCACCCCUCCCAAAGACAAUGACGGCGGCCUCGUUGGACCCCCGGUACACUGAGUUCCUCACCGAACACGUAUCGGAUCAAGGGUACACGGGGCACGGUCUGCCUCCCCUCAGGGAGAACUUUUCUAAGGUUGACCUCGGAUCAGGUAGGGAUACCCGCUGAACUUAAG
rnacentral:misc_RNA from 1 species